rnacentral:lncRNA from 1 species
UUCGCUUGAAGCCGUUCAAACGUCCGGCCUCUACGGGUAUCCACACGAAGCAGGAUCCGAUCCAAGCUCUCUAUCUCACCGGGGUGCUAGCUCCCUUGCAGAGAUAGUUUUUGAUGGCUGAUCUCCUCUCUUUCAAUCAACCCUUGAUUGUGCUUGAGAGGAGGAAGAGGAAGAAGGAACUCAAGGAAGAAGAACACAGCUUCUGCAGCCUUCUUUCUUUUCCUUGCGUUGGAAGAAGGUUUGGAGGAAGAGGAUGACGCCAACGCUUGGACUUUGCUCUCCCUUUGCUUGCGGCUGAACCAAGAGAGGAGAGGGGUUGGUGGCGGCAGCAAGAGGAGGAAGAGAGCUC